GAUGAAGAACGUAGUGAAAUGCGAUAAGUAGUGUGAAUUGCAGAAUUCAGUGAAUCAUCGAAUCUUUGAACGCACAUUGCGCCCCCUGGUAUUCCGGGGGGCAUGCCUGUUCGAGCGUCAUUACAACCCUCAAGCUCUGCUUGGUAUUGGGCCCCGCCAGUUCUGGCGGGCCCUAAAGUCAGUGGCGGUGCCUUCCGGCUCCGAGCGUAGUAAUUCUUCUCGCUCUGGAGACCCGGUUGUGUGCUUGCCAACAACCCCCAAUUUUUUAAGGUUGACCUCGGAUCAGGUAGGGAUACCCGCUGAACUUAAGCAUAUCAAUAAGCGGAGGA
rnacentral:misc_RNA from 1 species